GUGUAGGCCUCGGGGUGUCUUCCACCAGACUGCUGGUCUGUGGGACUGCUCUGGUUCAGUUCCCCCAGUGAUAGUGACACAGGCAUGGAGAGUCCAGCUUGUGUUUCCCUGUAGCUGGGUCUGGUGUUACUGGGCCUGGGUAGAGGUGGAGGAUAGGAUUGUUACUGGGCCUGGGUAGAGGUGGAGGAUAGGAUUGUUACUGGGCCUGGGUAGAGGUGGAGGAUAGGAUUGUUACUGGGCCUGGGUAGAGGUGGAGGAUAGGAUUGUUACUGGGCCUGGGUAGAGGUGGAGGAUAGGAUUGUAACUGGGUCUGGUGUUACUGGGCCUGGGUAGAGGUGGAAGAUAGGAUUGUAGCUGGGUCUGGUGUUACUGGGCCUGGGUAGAGGUGGAGGAUAGGAUUGUAACUGGGUCUGGUGUUACUGGGCCUGGGUAGAGGUGGAGGAUAGGAUUGUAACUGGGUCUGGUGUUACUGGGCCUGGGUAGAGGUGGAGGAUAGGAUUGUAACUGGGUCUGGUGUUACUGGGCCUGGGUAGAGGUGGAGGAUAGGAUUGUAACUGGGUCUGGUGUUACUGGGCCUGGGUAGAGGUGGAGGAUAGGAUUGUAACUGGGUCUGGUGUUACUGGGCCUGGGUAGAGGUGGAGGAUAGGAUUGUAGCUGGGUCUGGUGUUACUGGGCCUGGGUAGAGGUGGAGGAUAGGAUGGUAAACAGAGGCCUGACUUGGCAGACAUGUUUAUGUCUGUGUUGCCAUCUGUGACUGUGUGUGUUCUGUGUGUGUUUGUGUGUUCUGUGUGUGUGUUUGUUCUGUGUGUGUGUGUGUGUGUGUUCUCUGUAGUUUGGCCACAUCCCUGUGUCUCCGGUGUGUUUCCAUGUCUGGACUUCCGAUUGGAGCACUCACUCACUCACUCACUCACUCACUCACUCACUCACUCACUCACUCACUCACUCACUCACUCACUCACUCACUCACUCACUCACUCACUCACUCACUCACUCACUCCCUCUACUCUAUAUUCUCUCUCCCUCUACUCUAUAUUCUCUCUCUCUAAAUUUACCCCCCCCACACACUAAUGGUCAAAGCAUGUUGUGACCAUCUGACCGGUGAUAUUGUGAGAUAAAUGAGAGGGAGGGAGAGAGGCAGAGAAAGACAGGGAGAGAAAGACAGAUGAAGAGGGACAGGGAGAACGAGAAACACAACACAAACAGACCCCACAGAGCCCCAGGACAGCAACACAAUUACACCCAACCAACCAAAUCAUCAGAAAACAAAAAGAUAAUUACUUGACACAUUGGAAAGAAUUUACAAAAAAACAGAGCAAACUAGAAUGCUAUUUGGCCCUACACAGAGAGUACACAGUGGCAGAAUACCUGACCACUGUGACUGACCCAAACUUAAGGAAAGCUUUGACUAUGUACAGACUCAGUGAGCAGAGCCUUGCUAUUGAGAAAGGCCACCGUAGGCAGACCUGGC
rnacentral:lncRNA from 1 species